rnacentral:rRNA from 1 species
AGUGAACGCUGGCGGUAGGCCUAACACAUGCAAGUCGAACGGCAGCACAGUAAGAGCUUGCUCUUACGGGUGGCGAGUGGCGGACGUGUGAGGAAUACAUCGGAAUCUACUUUUUCGUGGGGGAUAACGUAGGGAAACUUACGCUAAUACCGCAUACGACCUACGAGUGAAAGCAGGGGAUCUUCUGACCUUGCGCGAUUGAAUGAGCCGAUGUCGGAUUAGCUAGUUGGCGGGGUAAAGGCCCACCAAGGCGACGAUCCGUAGCUGGUCUGAGAGGAUGAUCAGCCACACUGGAACUGAGACACGGUCCAGACUCCUACGGGAGGCAGCAGUGGGGAAUAUUGGACAAUGGGCGCAAGCCUGAUCCAGCCAUACCGCGUGGGUGAAGAAGGCCUUCGGGUUGUAAAGCCCUUUUGUUGGGAAAGAAAAGCAGCAGGUUAAUACCCCGCUGUUCUGACGGUACCCAAAGAAUAAGCACCGGCUAACUUCGUG